rnacentral:rRNA from 1 species
AAUCUUCCGCAAUGGACGACAGUCUGACGGAGCAACGCCGCUUGAGUGAUGAAGGUUUUCGGUUCGUAAAACUCUGUUGUUAGGAAAGAACAAGUAUCGGAGUCACUGCUGGUACCUUGACGGUACCUAACGAGAAAGCCACGGCUAACUACGUGCCAGCAGCCGCGGUAAUACGUAGGUGGCAAGCGUUUUCCGGAUUUAUUGGGCGUAAAGCGAGCGCAGGCGGUCCUUUAAGUCCGAUGUGAAAGCCCACGGCUCAACCGUGGAGGGUCAUUGGAAACUGGAGGACUUGAGUACAGAAGAGGAAAGCGGAAUUCCACGUGUAGCGGUGAAAUGCGUAGAGAUGUGGAGGAACACCAGUGGCGAAGGCGGCUUUCUGGUCUGUAACUGACGCUGAGGCGCGAAGGCGUGGGGAGCAAACA